CCAGACAGCCAGGAUGUUGGCUUAGAAGCAGCCAUCAUUUAAAGAAAGCGUAAUAGCUCACUGGUCGAGUCGGCCUGCGCGGAAGAUGUAACGGGGCUAAACCAUGCACCGAAGCUGCGGCAGCGACACUAUGUGUUGUUGGGUAGGGGAGCGUUCUGUAAGCCUGCGAAGGUGUACUGUGAGGUAUGCUGGAGGUAUCAGAAGUGCGAAUGCUGACAUAAGUAACGAUAAAGCGGGUGAAAAGCCCGCUCGCCGGAAGACCAAGGGUUCCUGUCCAACGUUAAUCGGGGCAGGGUGAGUCGACCCCUAAGGCGAGGCCGAAAGGCGUAGUCGAUGGGAAACAGGUUAAUAUUCCUGUACUUGGUGUUACUGCGAAGGGGGGACGGAGAAGGCUAUGUUGGCCGGGCGACGGUUGUCCCGGUUUAAGCGUGUAGGCUGGUUUUCCAGGCAAAUCCGGAAAAUCAAGGCUGAGGCGUGAUGACGAGGCACUACGGUGCUGAAGCAACAAAUGCCCUGCUUCCAGGAAAAGCCUCUAAGCAUCAGGUAACAUCAAAUCGUACCCCAAACCGACACAGGUGGUCAGGUAGAGAAUACCAAGGCGCUUGAGAGAACUCGGGUGAAGGAACUAGGCAAAAUGGUGCCGUAACUUCGGGAGAAGGCACGCUGAUAUGUAGGUGAAGUCCCUUGCGGAUGGAGCUGAAAUCAGUCGAAGAUACCAGCUGGCUGCAACUGUUUAUUAAAAACACAGCACUGUGCAAACACGAAAGUGGACGUAUACGGUGUGACGCCUGCCCGGUGCCGGAAGGUUAAUUGAUGGG
rnacentral:rRNA from 1 species